GCCCGACUGACGAUUCCAAAGUAGGAAGAAACGCGCGUCCUGGAU
rnacentral:hammerhead_ribozyme from 1 species